rnacentral:lncRNA from 1 species
AAUGCGCAGGCGCUUCGGUGGGGCAGCAGCAAAUGUGCGUGAUCUGGCUAAAGAGGGAACCCAGAAAGGGUGUCAGCUCCAAAUAUGGAUUAGCCACAGCCUUUCCACGAGGGGGAAUGGUGACCAUAUGUUUGCAAGUAUAAUUUACAGAAACAUAUAUGUGAUUAUUUUUUAAAAUAAGUGAACUAUUUAUAAAUCUUAGCCAAUGAAUCUUUGUGACAUCUCCUUUCAGGAAGCCUAAUUUUAAAAGAUACAGUGAACCCACAUGUUGAAGCUUUCUAGUAUAAUAAAAAUUUCAACUGUUCUGUUGAAUCAUCUGCCUGAUUGGAGGCUACAGAAAAGAUGUCAUCUUAGGAGUGCUUGCUCUGAGUGAGGCUCAUCUUCAAAUCUGAAUGACCACAAGGAGAUUUGAUUAUACAUGUGAACACCUCAGAAGGCACAGCCCACCCAGAAGGCAGACAGGUCAGGCUGCUUUUUCUUCAUUGCUUGGAUUCAAUCCUCCGGGCGGCUCAGGCUCAAACAUAACUUAAGCAUGAUUAAACUUUAGAAGAAGCUGCCAGGAAGACUGUGAAAUCUUCAUGCCCAAGGAUCCCUAAAAUUAGGAGCAACAACCACUUGGCUCAGACGGUUUAUGGAGGCAAAGGUUUGGAUGGGAUUAGAGAUUUCUAAAUGUGAGUUCGUGUCCUCUGCCAGACCACCUUACUUCCACCAUUCCUCAGCAAAUCAAGAAAAACAGGAGAAAAGACAUGCCUUUCCAUAAGUUAAAUCUAUUCUGUUUUAAUUCUAUAUUAUAUCUGCUGUACAACUUCUUUUGUUUGUAACACCAUAUUGUUGCUAGUAACUGGAAAUUAAUUUUCACAUGCCUCAGCUUAGAAAAAUAAAAAGCAGCCCUGCAUCAAUCCCAA